UACGAAGGGGGCUAGCGUUGCUCGGAAUGACUGGGCGUAAAGGGCGCGUAGGCGGAUCGCGCAGUCGUGCGUGAAAUCCCCGGGCUCAACCCGGGGCGGUCGCCCGAGACGGGUGGUCUGGAGUGGGGGAGAGGGUCGCGGAAUUCCCAGUGUAGAGGUGAAAUUCGUAGAUAUUGGGAAGAACACCGGUGGCGAAGGCGGCGACCUGGUCCUUUUACUGACGCUGAGGCGCGAAAGCGUGGGGAGCAAACAGG
rnacentral:rRNA from 1 species